GAUAACAAGCUAAUCUUCCCCAAUAUUUCACAUUGAUGGGAAGGUUUGGCACCUCGACACCGUCUCUUCACCACUUGGGAUGAUAGUACAUUCCAAGGGUUGGGUUGUUCACCCAUUAAAGAGGUACGUGAGAUGGGUUCAGAACGUUGUGAGAUAGUUC
rnacentral:ncRNA from 1 species